UUUAAUUAUUUAAUAUUUCGAAUUUUUAAGAGUUAAUUUAAUUUUUAUAAUAAAUGUUGUAAAAUUUAUUAAAAAUUUAAAUUGGAAAUAAUAAAUUAAUCGUUUAAAAAUAUAUCUAAUUUUUUUAGAAAUUAAUUUAAUUAUUUUAUUAUUAAUUUAAAAUUUUUAAUAAGUAAAUUUUUAAUAAGUAAAUUAAUCGAGAUAAUUUGAUUAAUUAAAUUAUAUGAUUAAAAAAUUUUUAAAAUUUUAUAGGAUUAAUAUUUUUUAUUAUAUUUAAAUUUUUAUAAAUAGAUUUUAUUAUAAUAAAAAUUUAUUUUUUCAUUAAUUUUUUUAUAAAAAUAAAUUAUUUAAUUAAUAAUUAAUUGUAAUAAUGAUAAAAUUAGUAAAUUAUUUUUUAAUAAAUUAUUAGAUUGAUAAAUUAAAUUAAUGAAUUAGGCAAAAUAAUUUUUACCUGUUUAUUAAAAACAUGUCUGUUAGAAAUAAAUUAAUAGUCGAAUCUGCCCGUUGAUUAAUUAAAUGGCUAUAGUAUUUUAACUAUACAAAGGUAGCAUAAUAAAUUGUUUUUUAAUUGAAAACUAGAAUGAAUGAUUUGAUGAAAGUUAACUUUAUUAAUUUAAGAUUUUGAAAUUUUUAUUUAAGUGAAAAAACUUAAAUUAUUUAAAAAGACGAUCAGACCCUAUAAAACUUUAUUAUUAAUAAAUAAUUAAAUUUUAUUGAUAAAUUAGUUGGGGAAAUUGUAAAAUUAUUAAAUUUUUAUUUUUAUUAAUUAUUUUAAUAAAAUUAAUUGAUCUUAUAGUAUAGGAUUGAAGAAAAGUUGCUUUAGGGAUAACAGCAUAAUUUUAUUU
rnacentral:rRNA from 1 species